CCUACUGGAGACAUCAUUGAGGAAUAUUGGUCCAUGGGCGCGCGCCUGAACCCUCCCCUCCUCUUUCCGUCUUCCUUCCCUCCUUUUUUUCCCCUUCUUUUCUCCCUUAAUAAAGUGAGGCACGUGUGCCUUUUUGUAUGUACUUUAUGAAUAAGGAUCGGCUAACUCCGUGCCAGCAGCCGCGGUAAUACGGAGGAUCCGAGCGUUAUCCGGAUUUAUUGGGUUUAAAGGGAGCGUAGAUGGGUUGUUAAGUCAGUUGUGAAAGUUUGCGGCUCAACCGUAAAAUUGCAAUUGAUACUGGCAGUCAUGAGUACAGUUGAGGUAGGCGGAAUUCGUGGUGUAGCGGGGAAAUGCUUAGAUAGCACGAAGAAAGCAGAUGGCGAAGGCAGCUUACUAAACUGCCAAUGACAUUGAUGCUCGAAAGUGUGGGUAUCAAACAGGAUUAGAUAGACUAGUAGUC
rnacentral:rRNA from 1 species